CGACCGCUGGCGGCGUGCCUACUACAUGCAAGUUGAGCGCUGAAGGUUGGUACUUGUACCAACUGGAUGAGCAGCGAACGGGUGAGUAACGCGUGGGGAAUCUGCCUUUGAGCGGGGGACAACAUUUGGAAACGAAUGCUAAUACCGCAUAAAAACUUUAAACACAAGUUUUAAGUUUGAAAGAUGCAAUUGCAUCACUCAAAGAUGAUCCCGCGUUGUAUUAGCUAGUUGGUGAGGUAAAGGCUCACCAAGGCGAUGAUACAUAGCCGACCUGAGAGGGUGAUCGGCCACAUUGGGACUGAGACACGGCCCAAACUCCUACGGGAGGCAGCAGUAGGGAAUCUUCGGCAAUGGACGAAAGUCUGACCGAGCAACGCCGCGUGAGUGAAGAAGGUUUUCGGAUCGUAAAACUCUGUUGGUAGAGAAGAACGUUGGUGAGAGUGGAAAGCUCAUCAAGUGACGGUAACUACCCAGAAAGGGACGGCUAACUACGUG
rnacentral:rRNA from 1 species